GCAGAGAUGCACCUGUGGUUCAUCUGAGCCCAUCAUCUCUGGCUCUCCCUCCUCUGCUUUCCUGUGCACUGUAGUCACAGGAAAAGGCAUGAAAUACUUCAAUAAGGGGGUGCAUUCCUCAUCCCCUCCAAUACUCUUGGGUGUUUGAUUGCUUCUAGGCUGUGGCUUUUGUUGUUCUGUUCUCAUUUACUUUCCUUUUUCAACUACAUAUCAAGUUCUUUCCUGAUCUGGCUUCAUGUGGUGGCUAAUGGAACAAAAUUGAUGCAAUUGCUCCAAAACCAGGCUUUUAGCCAGUAGAUUCUAAUUAAAGCAACCCUUUUUUAUUUCUUACAGGGAAAAAAAAAUCUUUCCGAGGGCCCACUUUCUUUGUAUCAAAUGAAUAUAUAUGCAAUAAUUUCUCAGCCUGAUGGAGACAGAAGUUGAAAUAUGCUUGGAGCAGUUAUAGCCAACCAUAUGUUCUCCAGGGAGAUGGUUUCUUUGUUCUUGCCUGCUUCUUCCAUGUGCUUGGUUGCUUAAACAGAUGGAGGUGAGGAGAUUUUCCCUGCUUCCAGGAAUAAAACCCCAAACUCCACACCUACAAACAUGAUUAAAAUUAACCAGGUAAAUUCCAUGUGUGUGGGGUAGGUUCUCAGUAACCAAAGCUGAGUGGAACUGUGAAAGGGUGGAGUUAAGCUGCCUUGUUAUGACAUGGACUGCUCGUUGUGCUGGCUGGAUCUAAUCUGGUGCUGGGGGAAUUACCUUAUCUCCAAACCUCAUCUCCCUUCCAAAUCCACCCUAAUGUCAGACUGAGAAUUCAGUGCUCAGGAGAACAAAGACACAUCACAAAUGCACUUCCACUCCAAGUGCCAGGGGCAGGGGUUUCUUUUUUUAAUCUUCCUUCUGUAUUAGUGAAUCUGCUUAAUAAGGCUUCCCAGGGUAAGUCAUUGCCUGACCCCCAGCCAUCCCCAGGAGGAAAGAGUGAUGGAAGGAACCAAUUGCAGCUCAUACACAGUAGCCUCAAGACCUGAUGAAAAGACAUGGUGGGUAAGUGUGCAGGAGGCUCAGUACAUGAGAAUCUCUGAUUUUUUUCCCUCUAUAACUGCCUGUGUGCUUCAGAACCACUUUUCAUAAUUCCCUUCCCUUACUGUCCUAAAGACCAAACAGCCUCUUACUCCCCCUUUGGAGCAUUUAUGCUCUCUGUUCAUGGAGAACCAGUCCCUAUCACUCCCUACCGAGCCCAAAAAUCCUUCCUGAACAACAUUUAAAAAAAAAAAUCCUUUCUUUGUCUGUCCCAUUCCUGCUGGCCCCCUGCACCUGAGCUGGCUGUAUUUGAGGGGCUCAAGCCUGCAAGUGAUGCUGUUUGCCUCUGAGUCAGAGAGGCUUUUAAAUCUGAGUGUAAAAUGAGCCUCCUCCAGCAGCAAACAGCCCAUCAUACACCUCCUUUGAAGUUCCCAUUUAAAUAACCUCCAGGGCUUUCCUGAUGUGGGAAGCCAGCAAGAGGAAGCAAUUCCCUCCUUCUCCCCUCUCCAAAGCAAGGAAAAUGAAUUCCCUGGCAGAGGGGGGAUGCUGGUUUUCAGGGUACUGCAGAGGAGAUGAACAGCUCUUGUUUGCAGCUUAGUUAGUAAGUCAGCACCUAUUCGUUCAUGGGCACAAUUUAUUAACCCCUGAACACUACAGAUGAUGGUGUUAUCACUGGAAAGUAAUUUUAAUUUGUUAUAUAAUUUAUCAGGUAGCUGCUGCAUCAGAGAGAAGCCUGUAUCUGCUCAUGUGUCCAGGUCCUGGUGUGAUGCUAGGAUGGGAAGAGGAUCAGGGAAACAAAAAGGAGGGGUCCUGGCAGGACUAUGGGAGCUGACCUGGUUGCAGAUGGUUUUUUUGCUGAUUUCCCACCCCUGUGGGUUGUUCCUGGUGCUGCUGCCUCAUUUAAAAGUGGCUGUGUGUUUGCAGGCCUCCAGCUCUACAUGUGAAUUGAUGCUUGGAUUUUUCCUGAAGGUGAACAGACACAGCAGCAGGAGCACAAGUGAGUUUGUGUGACAUCUGACAGCACUGGAGGGAUGUUCAGGGGUGUGUUGGGCAGGAGGGUGUCCUGUGCUAGAUGGGAUCCUGUGAUGUUGGAUGUCAGCAUUUUAUAUUCUUGAGAUAAUAUUAGGGCCUUCCUUAUGGACUGGUGUCAUGUGGCUGCCAAAUGUGAGAGUCCAGUAAAAUCUUCUGAGACAUUUGUAGUUCCUGUGUGCUGCAGUGAUUUAAUGGGACAGCUUUCCAGUGAGACAGCAGGUUUGCCCAUUACUGGAAGGACUGGAAACUGAGGAACCUGGUGAAGUAACAUUCCUACUUGCCUGGAUAUUACUUGUUUGCCAGGCUUUACUAGUGCACCAUCUUAACUGGAGAAUGCCCUGAAGACAUCUUAAGAAAGCCUGAAGCUAAGCAAGCUGCCUGAGGUGGGUUCCUCCUGGGCUCAGAGGUGCAGAACUCAAGGAUCCCUGCAUUUUCAGACUGCUCUUCAACAGGUGUUUGGGGUUUAUCUUCCAGCAGGAGAAAUGUGUGCUUGCCUGAACGUGCUGUUAGUCAGUCCUUGGCCUGACUGAAAGUGUGGGGAGUUCCAAGGCAAUUAUACCUGCACUAAUCAUAAUUUGCUCCUUAAUCUAGGAGUAUCUGCCUCUAUGUCCCUGUUUAUGCUAAGCUGCUGAACAAUUUGAUUAGGUGCUUUGAAUAAACCUUGUAAUUAUGCCAUAGAUACUCCUGAUGCAUGAUGUUAUUUUUAUUAUCUAAGUUAACACUGCCCAUUGUUGUAGCAUGGUUACACUUAGAGGCUGCUAUUAGAGCUGAAGCUCAAUUGUGCUAAAUAUUGCACAGACAUAGAGCUGCAGUCUCUGUCCUGGAGGACUCACAGCUUGGCUGUACUAUUGUGCAUCAGCCCAUUAGAGCACCCUGAGAGGCAUUAGUGCCCCAAAUAGUUUCAUAGGUUCUAUAAUGGAAAUGGCCUUGCAGACCUUUUAACCUGUGAAGGCAGCAGUGCUCCUGAAUUCAGCUUUGUCCAUGCUCUUCCAUCAUUAGCACUGCUUGUUAGACAGAAUCUUGGGAAAUGAUAGUUUCAAAUGUGGUUGGAACAGGCCAAUUCUGCUUUCUCAGUGAGUCCUCCUGAGGGUGGAAGAGUAGAGCCAGGCCACCCUCCUUCAUGUCCCCAGCAUGGUUCUGUUUUGUCAAAAGCAUUACAAUGUGAGCUGAAUUCUUUCCUGGCUGGUUUGUGCUUCACCAGCUUUCCCUGACCUCGUGCCAAUCAAUGAUGAAUUGUACAAGUCCCCACUGAAAACACUGCAGAAGCCAGAGGAAUGCCAGACUCACUGUGUAGUGCAUUAAAUCAAAAUAUUUUAAGCCUGAGACUGAUGAGUAUGAUUCUUCUAUUUCAAUCUGCUCCUUCAGAUUAAAAAGCUGCUAAAAGCUUCAGCUUGUCUUGCUGCAUCUGCUGCUUCAAGACCAGUGAAUGGCAUGUCCAGGACUGGAGGCUGUGGGUAGGAGGAUGAUAUUUUGUGAUAAAUGUACCUGAUGGAGUUCUAUGUUCACAGAGUUUUUUAAAAGCCUUCUACAGCAAAUGAUCAAUCUGUUAGAGAGAAUACUGAAAGAGCAUCUAGCACUCCUUUGGCUGUGAGUGCUGUGAGGAAUCAUUAAUGUCUAAAAGACCACAGACCUCUAACCUAUGCAAAAUUAUGGCAUUUUUGCUUACAUUUCCUUCUUGCCUUACCCUCUUUGCUGGAUUGGCUAUAACUACAGGAUAUUAUUUUGUAAUAUUUUGUGUAUUGGCUCUCUUACUAAUUCUCUAUCCCCAUUUUACAGUUUUGUGGUUAAAAGAUUAAAUAAGCAAAGCAUUUAUAUGAAAAAAACAUAAAAUAACAGAUUGUUGUUGUUUUUCACUUGCUUUGCAUUAAGUUUUCAGUGUCAGAGUUUCAGUGAGGCAGAUUCUGUGGUGAUGGGAAUCAGUGGUGGUAGAGUUGAUUGAUUUGAAUUUAUUGCUAUAAGAAUAUGAGGAUUUCCUGAGUAAGCUGGAAGGUGGGAAUCAUCAGAGACAUAGCUGGUAGAGCCAGUCUGUAAAACCUUUGAAAUGAUGAAAAGGCAUAAAAAUCAGACUUCUUCCUGUUAGACUACUGUGAUCUGUCACAGCACCAGUGGUAGAAGGAGGAGAGGUGCAGAGGCUACAAAAGGCAGCUCAUAUUUCUGGAAAUGGCUGGUGGGAUUUAGAACUGGUUUUAGCUCACAUGAAAUUUUGGGACUGAGGCCAAGUGCUAUUUCUGUAAUUUGAGGUUGACCCAUGGUUAGGAUUAAGGGCUUGAAUUCGAUUUGCUUUAAAUCUGAGGCUGAACUUGGUUGACACCUGCUGGUUGGGAUUCUAGGAAAUCAAAGGGAGCUUCACUGACUGACAUGAAAUUCUGCUUUGAAAUACUGGUGAGAAAUCAAAUAUUUUUCAGCCAUUUUCCAACAACAAAAUGAGAACUCAAACUGGUGAUGCUUGGGAGUGACCUCAGCACCCUCAUUUCUCCUGUUUAAGAAGCUGGAGCUGGCAGAGAAGAGAAAAAAAGACGUCUGGCAAAUAGACAUUGAAUUGGCUUAAUGUAGGGACUGUUUUGCUGCAGUGGAACUGGGGCCUCUUAUUAAGAAUCUGAUGGCACUUCUAAACAAGGAGAGCUGCUCCCUUGGAGGGGGCAAUCUCCAAUCAUAUGCCAACAUUGCUUUUGACAUAUUUAUGACUCCAAUAAAAUCUCCCAUCUGGUAUAUUUUAAAAUAAAAUUGAAAAUUUAUCACUUU